rnacentral:rRNA from 1 species
UACGGUGGGGGCAAGCGUUGUUCGGAAUUACUGGGCGUAAAGGGCUCGUAGGUGGCCAACUAAGUCAGACGUGAAAUCCCUCGGCUUAACCGGGGAACUGCGUCUGAUACUGGAUGGCUUGAGUUCGGGAGAGGGAUGCGGAAUUCCAGGUGUAGCGGUGAAAUGCGUAGAUAUCUGGAGGAACACCGGUGGCGAAGGCGGCAUCCUGGACCGAGACUGACACUGAGGAGCGAAAGCCAGGGGAGCAAACGGG